rnacentral:lncRNA from 1 species
CUGUCCCUCCCAGCCCCAUGGCAGGUGCCAGAGGUGCGUGCUGUCCCCGCAGCUGCGCACCAAGCUGUCCUCGCAGGAGAUCCAGCAGUUCGCCAUGCUGCUGCACGAGUACCGCAACGGCGCCUCCAUCCACGAGUUCUGCAUCAACCUCAAGCAGCUCUACGGGGACAGCAGGAAAUUCCUGCUCCUGGGCCUGCGUCCCUUCAUCCCCGAGAAGGACAGCCAGCACUUCGAGAACUUCCUGGAGACCAUCGGGGUCAAGGACGGUCGCGGCAUCAUCACCGACAGCUUCGGCCGCUACCGCCGCUCGCUGGGCCCCGCCUCCGCCGCCAACGGCACCGCCGCCGGCAGCUCCGACGAGCAGUCCGUGCCCUCCGAGGAGGACGAGUGGGACAGGAUGAUCUCCCACAUCAGCAGCGACAUCGAGGCCCUGGGCUGCAGCCUGGACCGGGACUCGAGCUGAGGGAGCCCGGGAGCUGCUCCCGCCGGGAAUGCGGGGCAGAGUCACCCGGGGGCACCUCGGGACAGAGACACCCCGGGGGGGACAGGGGCUGCCUCCCGUGGGGACGUGGAACCAGCGUGAUCCUGGGACGUGGAGCUGCCCCUGGAGGGACCCUGGAACAUGGAUCUGCCCCAGGGGAUCCAGGACACGGAGCUGCCCUUGGAGGGGCCCACUCCCACCAACCUGUGCCCUGAUGGAGAUCCUGGAAGAUGGAGCAGCCCUUGGAGGGACCCCAGACCCCUCCUGUGCCCUUGGAGGGACCCCAGACCCCUCGUGAACAGCUCCAGGGGCUCCAGCUGGGACGUGGGGCACAGAGCUGGAUUUGGGUUUUGGGGGCAGGUCUCCUCCCAGAGGGGCAGAUCUGCCCCUGAGCGUCCCCCUGUGCUCCUGAGGGAUGUGCUGAGUGUUGGGCUCUGUUCCCAAGGGGCUGGAUCUGCUGCCCCCACCCCCAGUUUACAGUUUGCACAGCGGGUCCCCCAGAACUGCCCCCCCAAUGAAGUUUUACCACAAUGUGAAUUUUCUCACCCUCCAUGGUACUGGAACAUUGCCGAACAUUGCAGCUGCCCCAGACCGGGAUUGCCCCCAGUCGCUGCCCCCUCCUCACC